CCGCCACCUCCGCCUCGCGCCGUCCCCAUCUCCGAGCACCGCCGCCUCCGCCUCCGCCUCCGCCGCCGCCUUGCUGCCAGUGAGAAGAGAUCGGCGCAGGUUGCUGCCAGUGAGAAGAGAUCGGCACAGGCGAUGCGGUGGUGGGCAACUUCAAGAAGUCGAGUACUGCCAUACCAGGACCCAACCCUAGGUGCUUCUAUUGGUGGUGUUUUCCCCACCAACAAACACAGCUAG
rnacentral:lncRNA from 1 species